rnacentral:rRNA from 1 species
CCUACGGGCGGCAGCAGUGAGGAAUAUUGGUCAAUGGACGAGAGUCUGAACCAGCCAAGUAGCGUGAAGGAUGACUGCCCUACGGGUUGUAAACUUCUUUUAUAAGGGAAUAAAAUGUUCCACGUGUGGGAUUUUGUAUGUACCUUAUGAAUAAGGAUCGGCUAACUCCGUGCCAGCAGCCGCGGUAAUACGGAGGAUCCGAGCGUUAUCCGGAUUUAUUGGGUUUAAAGGGAGCGUAGGUGGGUUGUUAAGUCAGUUGUGAAAGUUUGCGGCUCAACCGUAAAAUUGCAGUUGAGACUGGCAGUCUUGAGUACAGUUGAGGUGGGCGGAAUUCGUGGUGUAGCGGUGAAAUGCUUAGAUAUCACGAAGAACUCCGAUUGCGAAGGCAGUUCACUGGACUGCAACUGACACUGAGGCUCGAAAGUGUGGGUAUCAAACAGGAUUAGAUACCCGGGUAGUC